rnacentral:rRNA from 1 species
GACGAACGCUGGCGGCGUGCUUAACACAUGCAAGUCGAACGGAAAGGCCCUGCUCUUGUGGGGCUCUCGUUUGGCGAACGGGUGAGUAACACGUGUGUAACCUGCCCUUGACUUUGGGAGAUCUCCAGGAAACUGGGGCGAAUACCGGAUAGGAGCUUCUGCUGCAUGGUGUGGGUUGGAGAGUGUCGGCGGUGGGGGAUGGACUCGCGGCUUAUCAGCCUGUUGGUGGGGUAGUGGCUUACCAAGCGUUUGACGGGUAGGCGGCCUGAGAGGGGGACCGGCCACAUUGGGACUAAGAUAGGGCCCAGACGCGUACGGGCGGCAGCAGGGGGGAGUAUUACACAGUGGGGGGACGCGAGAGACGAAAACCCCGGGUGCGGAAUAAUGGCCUUCGGGUUGAAAACAGAUUUGGAAUGUGACGAGCAGUGCGUGACGGUACUGGGUAAAGAAGCAACGGCUAACUACGUG